ACACAGCAACUUCCCUUGUUUUCCCACAUUGUCCUGUCCACACUGUUGACUAGCUCGCAUAUGCACUGUAUCUUAAUGUUCAGUUUGUGACAGCCUCAGAAACAUGCCUCCGUAUGGUGCUCCUCGUACAUGGAGAAAGAGUUUGGCGGGCACACAUUUUUAAAGAGAGAGAGAGAGAGAGAGACCAGGGAGUAGUACUGUUUAGGACACGAUGAAUGGUAAAAGGAUCAAAUAAAGCCUUCUGAGCAGCAAACCGGUGCUUCGUACCAUUGUUGUUUCCACCACAAAGGCGUCUCCGCCCCGUGAGUUUCCCGACCACAGUCAGAGGACUGUAGCAGGAAAGAUUUUAUCAUGAAAAAUGUGGUGGGAGUGCAACAUUAAUGGCAAUAAAAGCUGGUUUUCCACCCAAGGAUAGACAGAUGAGGAUGGUAACAACGAAGACAAAGCAAAAGACAAGCUUUUUCCAGAGUUGCUGGUCGGCGCGCUCUUCAAAGCCUCGCAAGGAAGAUAACCUUAACAAGGUUAAUCGAUACUCUUUUCAGAAGGACAACAUUCCAGUUAAGAUUGUUUUUUGUUACUUUUGUUUGUCAAUUGAAAGAUUUGAGAAUUUUGUGAAAAACUGGAUUUGUUUAUUCUUUUGUCUUUCUGUCAUUGUCAUCAAAUUUUAAACAAAUAAUAAACAUUUCACUUUUCUUGUGGUGAACUAAUAUACAGGUUUUACUUUUUGAAAAAAAAAUUGAAUAAAUGGAGUUUGCCUUGAUAUUAAAAAACAUUCCACUGCCUUUUGUUUUCUGUGUGAGCAUACAUAAUUUCUGUCACAUAGAGGAAAAGAUCAAGGACACAAUACUGUGCCUUUGUUACGCAGUCCUGCGCCCCAUGAUGUGUGUAUGCCAGGCAGGCUAAUAGUCAGUCUGGGCUUUAUGUGCUGUCGGUCGUGUCUUCAAUAAAUGCGGUUAAACAUAAAAUCGUCCACCUUGCCUAUGUAUGAGUAACGGGAGCUCAAGGAUCGAAAAUGGCUGCCGUUCGAGGCACCCCACCGGGUGACGUCACGUGAAAACAACCCAUUAAUAACACUUUAUAGUACUCCACAUACUUUAGUUUGGUUGUAAACUGCAUAGAAGUAAGUCGUAGACAAACUCCAACGUCCCAUCGGUAUGUAUGUACAUGCGUAGUAACAUUAGUUUACAAGCACAGAAACACUAAAGGGGUGUUAGUUUUUUAACAUGGACCAGGUAAACAUGUUAACAAAACAAGACGUUGCCAGCAGACUAAAUACUAAUAACAACCAACAAAAUUGAUUAAAGCCCACAUUGAGGUCCCGAGUUUUGUCUUCUGCACUAUUACAGUCAGUAAUGUUAUUGUUUACGAAUGAGGAGCCAAGACUUUUUUUUUUUUGGUGUUCUUGUGUUUUGGUGGUGGUGUAUGUGAGCACAUUAAAUGUUUGAUGACAAGUUCACUUUCAAAUGAUGUGUGAAAGAAUUCAUUACUAUGUUACCUAUCAUGAUAAAAGCAUAUCAUUACUACUAUAGUUACUGUUGGAAUUGUUUUAUCAUGCGUUUGUUUCUGUUAAUCUUAGUCUGAAUUAU